GUUGAUCUCACCUUGCAACAGCAGAUAUUAUAGGCUUUGCAAACUGUCCAGAUCCCAGUGGGUAUAAUUUUCAGGCUGGCUAAUUCUCUGGGCUCGAGUGAUGCCACUCAGAGGCUCUGAGCCAGCUGAGGGGAGGGGGUGGCGUGCCACACACAGGAAGGGGUCUGAGUCAGGGCUCCCGAGAGCAAGGACCUCCUUCCUUCUUCUGGACACCGCUCCUUGCAAGCCUGCUCCCAUUGCUGAUGCCCACCUACCCGCAGUUAGGUCCUGUCCUUUCUCAGCUGAGACAGGAGGGACAGGUGGCCCGUGCCGGAAGCAGUGGCUGUGGCACAGGAGAAGGGGGGAGAUCCUGGUAGAGAGCCCAGAGCUGCAAUGUGACAAACAGGAGGCCAGGUAUUAACAGCCCUCCACAAAGCCUUCUGCAAUGCCUCGCAAAGCCCUUGGUGGACCUCGUCAAAGAGUAACACAGGUUCUGUUUCGUGACAGUUUGGAUCUGCACCUGAUCUAGAAGCCCGGCCUACUUGUACUUCUGUUGCUAGGGCUUUGUUUUAAGUAUUUUCACUUUUGUGAAGGUGAAACAAUCCUUAAUCAAGCAAAUAAUUCGUAUUAUUAAAACAACAAUUCUCAUAUUCCACAAGGAACUGGAACAUAGACCAACUUUCCAAGACUAAAGAGAAAAACUGUGUUUUAUCCUGAAACAGAGAUGUCAUUUCUUGUGCCUAGAGUCAAUGUCCUAUGCACUGGACGUGUGUUUUUUUUCAGCUUUUACAGUUUGAUAUUCUUUUAUUUAGUUGGCUUUUCAGAGAUUGUCUUACCAUCAGUAUGAUAGCAAAGACAUGUCCACAUGCUGUUGCUAAUAGCAAGUCUAUCCAUACUUUUUCUAUGUACACUUUGAGAUCACCUUAUCGCAAAGGGUCAGAGUGAGCCUUUCUUUGCUUUAAGCUUAGCAAAACACUUGGUUUCCUAUGGUCUCUGUCGUCGCCUGUUACAGCCUAUCAGUUACAGUCUAUCAUCCUUUACUUGCUGCUUUGCUAUUAAAACAAGAAACAAACACAGAUUCACAAAAACAUUACAGGAAGCAAAUAGUACUUUUAAUGUUGGAGAAGAGCCAGCCUGACAAAAUGAAGCCUGAGACUUCCCUGACCUCCAGCACAACAUUCAGGAGCUGGUCAGGAUCCAGCUUGCAGAGACUUGGGAUGCAUACGGAGCACAUUUGGUAAUGCCCUUUUCACACUUUGGAGAUAUUUGUUGGCAUGAUCUGCGUCAUGUUUCCAAGGUCCAACAUAAAAUGUGGCAUUUUUGCAUGUUCAGGCCUCCUGACAAGUCUCAAUCCCCAGAUUCUGUAACAAUUUCAGACUCUUUCUGACUGUUCUCUUAAUGUUAAGGUGAUUUUAGUGAGGGAAAAAUACAACACUAACAAAAAUACACAGAAGCAUCAGGACAGGAAUGAUAUGAAGCCUAUUGUACAGUUCACAGAUAUUGCCUAUAUUUCUUCAGGAGAAUAUCAGGAAGGAAAAAAAGAACACUGCAAAAGCAUUCACCAUAGGCAGAGCCAUUUGUUCAGGGAGUUGGUGCAGGGGGUCCUUCAGGUAGCCUGGGAAUGGUGCAGCACCAAGAACCUUUCCUCCUUCCCAAGAGAUUCCCAGGCCUUCAUAGUGCUGCACCUUGCCUCAGUCACGAUGUCCCUGCCUGGGCAUUGGGCACAUACCCAUUAAAACCCUGGACCUGAGGGCAACCCCACACUGGCCUCCCCAGGUCUCCUCAGGUGUGAUGGAGGAGGUUGUCAAGAUGGCUUCCCAUGCUGACCCCACACCUCCGGGCCAGACCUUGGAUGCCGGACUCCUCCCACCACAGUGGGGCCCAGCACUGACCCAAGAGGCACCACAGGGCCCUGCCCAAUGCCCAGCCAGGUGAGGCACCCACUGCCGCCCUGCCAUGGCUGCAGCCUGCCCUCCAAGGGCAAGCAGUGACCCCACGUUUCUGGAUAACUGGCUGCUGCAAGCUCUUCCCCUCCCAACAACACUUGUUUGUCUUAAAUACAAGUUUUUUCCUUGGGCUGCCACAGAUUUUCCACCUUGGUGGCCAACCAACGGCUGGCCAGGGAGGUUCAUUAGCGCCCAUGAGAAACACCGUCUUCCAGUGCGGGCCGGGCCUUGCUCACAGGGGAGGCAGGCGGCAGCACCACGCAAAAUGCCAAAAAUCCCAGUUGUUUUCCUCGGUUGCCAGGGUAGGAAUUAACGCUGUCCCUGGCGGAGCACAAGGACUCCCUGUGAUACAAGUGGGGACAAUGGGAAGGUAUGUUUUCGUGACCCGCUGCAGGAAAUCCUGUGCGUCUUGCAGGGGAACACAGCACUUUCCUGCGCUGUCUGUGGCUGAGCCCUGGCUCCAGAGGCCGGUAGCAGCCAGGCUCAUAGUGACCCAUGCCAAACCCUGCUAAAUUUUAACAGUCUGUUUUUAUCCAGCGAGCUGCCCUGGGCACAGUGGCAAUGUUGUGCAGCUCUCAGACGGGCCUCCAGGGCAGAGGGGUGACAGAAGCAAUCAAAAACAAAGCUGAGCUUCUCAGCCAGUACCUGCAAUCCAUUCUGUUGAUGGCUCUGGGCUGCAGCGCUCAGAAACCCCGCCAGUACAACUGGGACAGACGCAUAGAAACUGUCUGUUCUGAGUUUGGGGUUUUUUUUUUUGAGCGAUGUGGUUAAUACAGUAACUCAGACACGACUGUGUUGCACGACUGCUUUUGAAUAAAAAGCAUGAGCUACGUAUCCCUGCCUCGCGCCCCAGUGGAAAUCACACUGAUAAUUUAAACACAGCUGUCCUGCUGUGCAUUUGUGUCUGCGGCCCUCAAGGAUGGUGACACGCCGCAAUAGCUGUGUCUGUCUCCGAACAGAAAUAAUAAGAGAAACAUCUGUCUCCCUGUUUCUGCUCCCCUAGCUCCAGUAAGCAGCGCUUCUGGGUCCCACUCUAAACAUGGGGCCUGCUCCCAGAGAAACAGAGAUACCCGGCUCCUCUUCAUCAUUUCCCCUGGCUGACACUAAAUGGGCCGCUUCCAAGGAGCGCCACUGCUGCUGUCGAUGAACCCAUUUAAAGAAAUGAGAAGAAACAAUUCAGAAAGUGACGCAUUACUUCUGCCUGCGGACAGAGGGAACAGCUGAAACGUGGGAGUCCAGACUACAGCUGUGUGACUACAGCUUUAAAAAAAAUAUACGCAUAUCUUAGUGAAUAAAAACUACUGAUUCCCUCUGCUGGUAUUAUAGACCUUAUUCACUUACCGAGGUGGUGAAACUUGGAACAGUAGUCACAAGAAUAUCUGUGAAAGGAAAGAUGAGACAACAAAGAGAAGCCACUAUCUCUUCAAAACUAGGGGGUGUUCAUACCACAGCAGCCCCCCUGCCCGGCCUUCCCUUCAGACCUCAUUCUUCCUCCCCAUUCCUGUAUCUAUACUGUCUCCUUUUAUCUUUGUCAUGACUUAGGGUCCUAUCACACUAAGCAGCCUAACUGCCACAGACACUUGCAUCCAUCAGGGGAAUGGGAUCAUUGCUAGGAAAUAAAUAUUCACCCAGAUAAAUUACCAGCAGAAGGGCUUCUGCAGCCAUUUGGAAAAGCCUCACACUCUAAGACCUGUCAAAUGUGGAUAUUUUCUGAACAGGAAAAAACAAAACAGAAGUAAUUUCUUCCUAUGGAGACCAGGCACAAAGACAAUGGCAUUAAGGUUAGGCGACACAUCCUUCAGAGAAAAUGAUUAACUCCAAACAACCUGUUUACAGCCAAGCCAUAGGCAGCAUUUUUAAGUGUUUCUCUUUUUUCUUGCCUUAAUUCCUUCCAGGCAGCUACGAACGGGAGCGUGCCCAUGAACUUGGUGCACCCUGUGUGCAAAAUUCAUGCUGAGAGGAGGAGGCUGCAUUUAUUAGAGAACUCAUUUGCAAAAGCUAAUGGGGCUGGCUGGAAGCCUCACUACACCUUUCCCCUUUCCUUUCCCCUUCAGAACAUCUACAGAGAGAGCAACUACUCCUGGAAACAUUUGUGCCAGAAUGGCGUGAUACCUUGCGCUUCCAAAAUAACCUCUUCUACGUGAAUAUUGGUGACAGGUACACAUUGUCAGAGCAUGAGGGACACCUCCUUCUCUAUAUUCUGUCUUCUGGCAGCAGUGCAACAGAGUGGCUACCACAAGCAUAAGCGUACGAUUAACCUGUGGAUCAGGGAUGCAUAGCCACUGGCUGCUGGAGAAGGAGAGUGCGUGUUAGAAGAACAGUGUAAACAGCUCCAAAAAACAGACAUGAUAUACAUGUGCCUCUGGAACUGAAUGUAGGAAACUUUCACCCUGCCCCCACAUGGGCUGGCUUCUGGUUCCGUGAUGAGGGUGCAAGGAAACAUGUACUACUUUCCUGGAAACCAGGCUUUAAACUUCCUUCACAGCAAUUGGAGAGUGAGGGUACGCAGAAAGCAGGGCUUUAUUCAGGCGUUUCCACUGCCAUUGUGUCCUUUGGCAUGUCAGCAUCUAACCAUUUACCUCUUUGGUGCUUCUUCGUACUCAUGCUGAAACUAUCCCUCUACCCAGGAGAUAUGGGUGUCUCUGACUAGCUAUGAUAGCACAGAGAACAUGCCCUCAGGGGUAACAGUCUGGUAGGACUCCAAAUAAAGACAGAUUUGGUUGUCUGACUUUUUGCCCCUCAUUUGGUCAUUCUUUCCCUCUGUGC
ensembl:lncRNA